rnacentral:lncRNA from 1 species
GAGAAUGAGGGGACUGGGUGACUUUGCAGUGUCUGCUUUCUAAGUUUCAAAGUGACUUUCCAGGCAAGCUGCGCAUAUCUUGGGAUCUUCACAGCACAGUGGCUGGGAAGGCAGGCGGACCCGUCUAUCAGCUUCUCCCUGGUGGGAUUCUUGCGGGGGCAGGGAUCGAGUCAAACCUUGGAAAUGACGUCAUUCUGAACUCAUCUGCCUUUAUCCAGAAGACUACCAAAGCAAACCAGAGGACCAGAGAACAGCAGCUGCUCUGGACAAAGAGGGGAGGACACCCACACCCACAUACCAAGUUCUGGUUGACUUCUACAGCAGAAGAAGCAGGAGACACAAGAAGGGGAAGACACAAGGAAGCUGGGCAUGAUGGCCAAGUGUUAGAGGGUUACACUACUGCCUUCUGCUUCUGAUCUGAUUGAGUCACAGCUGAGAUGUGGCACCAGGACUCUUGGCUACACUCAGUUCUCUCAGUUUGACUGAGUACUCUGGGAUCACAGAAGUGACUACAUGAUGCUUGACUUGACCCUCUGACACCAGAGAACUUAUAGAUCUUGCUCUGGCCUCAAGGGAGGAGAAAAACCUCAAAAUCGAUCAGGACUGGAGUAGAUAACACUCCACUGUGCCUAUCAGUGGGAUUCUACUGAGCCACCAGGAGUACACACAAGGCUUCAGGCCCAAAGCAACAGGGCCCACCAGCCAUAGACAGAACUGUCUGAAGCUGUGAGCCCAAAGAAAUUCCUCCAUCUUGUUUUCCUGGGACUCUGUCACACUGAUGAAAAGUUCUAUGAUUCUAGGCUUUAGUAAGAAGGCCUUCGGAAUCUCCAAAGAAACCAAACGUGUACGUGGGAAGAAGUGUACUUGGUUCGUGUGAUUAUGGAGUCUGACAAGUUCAAAAUCUUCAGUGAGAGCUGUCUGGCUGUAUUCACGAAGAACCGAUGCCAUACUGUCUGGCUGGCAUUAGAGCCCUCUGGACUGAGAAAAAUGAAGAAUACCACCCCUCCUCCAUGACAAGGAGGGAACCAGGGGUCCAGAGCAGAAAGCAGUCCAGACCACUUAAGCUGUGGCUCUGCUGGCUCCGAGGGCAGCCAGAGCUUCACUGGCCCCUUCUUGGUAACAGCUGGUGGAAUGCCCCGACCUGCACAGAACAGGGAAGGGCUCCAGACCCUUCCCGUUGAGCACACAUUUCGUCCAGAUGUGCGGGUGGAAGCAGAGGGUGGAAAUACCACCGAGGCUGACGAUAAUGUGUUAACCAAAACAGGAAGCCCCGAGGAAGGUGGACGAGUGGGUUUCACUUCAGCUGUGUGAUUUUUAUCAAUACGUUUAUUGUUCUAAAACUCUUCUUUUUAAAAGGUAUUUUCAAAACAAGCCCAACCUCUGCUUCCCAUUCUGAAUUAUUGUGUUGACUCUGUGCUUACAUUUAGGGCAAGAGUGGAAGAAAAUAAGGACACCUGGUAGAGGUGGUGAAAUAUCAGGUCCUUGCCUAGGAGUGGGGAACAGGGAAUUUUUACUGACUGAGAGACUGUUUCCUCAUGGAGAAAGGACAUGGGUCCAGGACCCUGGGCAACCCAGAAAGAAUUAGGAUGAGCUGAGCUCUGUGGUGACAGCAUGAUCUCCCUUAAGUAUCAAGCACCCCAGUGGCAGACAUUCAAAGCUACCCUCUGCUUGAGACCCAAGCAAGUCCUGUGCAUGCUCGUUGUUUCUGUGAGAAAUUUGCAGAGCAUGAAAAUUAGACCCUCUGAAGAACAAGCUUAUUAAUCAGAAAUUAUCAGCAGCAUUCUGUUGGCUUUGUUCUAUGAAACAAACAAACAAACAAACAAACAAACAAA